GGGUGAUCGGCCACACUGGGACUGAGACACGGCCCAGACUCCUACGGGAGGCAGCAGUAGGGAAUCUUCGGCAAUGGACGAAAGUCUGACCGAGCAACGCCGCGUGAGUGAAGAAGGUUUUCGGAUCGUAAAACUCUGUUGUUAGAGAAGAACAAGGACGUUAGUAACUGAACGUCCCCUGACGGUAUCUAACCAGAAAGCCACGGCUAACUACGUGCCAGCAGCCGCGGUAAUACGUAGGUGGCAAGCGUUGUCCGGAUUUAU
rnacentral:rRNA from 1 species